GACGAACGCUGGCGGCGCGCUUAACACAUGCAAGUCGAACGGAAAGGCCUGCUUUCCCUUGUGGAUUGCGGGUACUCGAGUGGCGAACGGGUGAGUAACACGUGAGUGAUCUGCCCCCAACUUGGGUAUAAGCCUGGGAAACUGGGUCUAAUUCCCGAUAGGACUGCAGGGUGGUGCCUGUGGUGGAAAACGAUUUUCUGGUGGUGGGGGAUGAGCUCGCGGCCUAUCGGCUUGUUGGUGGGGUAAUGGCCUACCAAGGCGGCGACGGGGAGCCGGCCUGAGAUGGUGCACGUGCGCACUGGGACUGGGACACGGCCCCGACGCCAACGGGCGGCAGCGAAUGGGAAUAAAGGACAGUGAGCGGAAGCCUGCUGCAGCGACGCCGCGUGGGGGAUGACGGCGUUCGGGUUGUAAACUCCUGUCGAACGCGAGGAAGCCACCUGGUUGGAAGGGUGGUGACGGUAGUGGUAGAAGAAGCACCGGCUAACUACGUG
rnacentral:rRNA from 1 species